rnacentral:misc_RNA from 1 species
UAAUAAGUGUUUUAUGGCACUUUUUAAAUCCAUAUCCACCUUGUGUGCAAUGUCAGUCGAUCUUCUUCAUGGAGAUCGACCAAACAUCAACCUUUAUUUUUAACACUUUGUCCUGAAAAAUAUUAUGAAUAAACAAUUCAAAAUA